CUUACACAUGCAGUCGAACGGUCUUUUCGGAGAUAGUGGCGGACGGGUGAGUAACGCGUAAGAAUCUACCUUCAGGUUGGGGACAACCACUGGAAACGGUGGCUAAUACCGAAUGUGCCGAGAGGUGAAAGGCUUGCUGCCUGAAGAAGAGCUUGCGUCUGAUUAGCUAGUUGGUGGGGUAAGAGCCUACCAAGGCGACGAUCAGUAGCUGGUCUGAGAGGAUGAUCAGCCACACUGGGACUGAGACACGGCCCAGACUCCUACGGGAGGCAGCAGUGGGGAAUUUUCCGCAAUGGGCGAAGGCCUGACGGAGCAAUACCGCGUGAGGGAGGAAGGCUCUUGGGUUGUAAACCUCUUUUCUCAGGGAAGAAGAAAGUGACGGUACCUGAGGAAUAAGCAUCGGCUAACUCCGUGCCAGCAGCCGCGGUAAUACGGAGGAUGCAAGCGUUAUCCGGAAUGAUUGGGCGUAAAGGGUCCGCAGGUGGCAUUGUAAGUCUGCUGUUAAAGAGUUUGGCUCAACCAAAUAAAAGCAGUGGAAACUACAAAGCUAGAGUGUGGUCGGGGCAGAGGGAAUUCCUGGUGUAGCGGUGAAAUGCGUAGAUAUCAGGAAGAACAUCCGUGGCGAAGCGCUCUGCUAGGCCAAGACUGACACUGAGGGACGAAA
rnacentral:rRNA from 1 species